rnacentral:rRNA from 1 species
UACGUAGGGUGCGAGCGUUGUCCGGAAUUAUUGGGCGUAAAGGGCUCGUAGGCGGUCUGUCGCGUCGGGAGUGAAAACUCAGGGCUUAACCCUGAGCCUGCUUCCGAUACGGGCAGACUAGAGGUAUGCAGGGGAGAACGGAAUUCCUGGUGUAGCGGUGAAAUGCGCAGAUAUCAGGAGGAACACCGGUGGCGAAGGCUGUUCUCUGGGCAUUACCUGACGCUGAGGAGCGAAAGUGUGGGGAGCGAACAGG